CCUACGGGAGGCAGCAGUAGGGAAUAUUGCUCAAUGGGGGAAACCCUGAAGCAGCAACGCCGCGUGGAGGAUGAAGGUUUUCGGAUUGUAAACUCCUUUUGUUAGAGAAGAUAAUGACGGUAUCUAACGAAUAAGCACCGGCUAACUCCGUGCCAGCAGCCGCGGUAAUACGGAGGGUGCAAGCGGUACUCGGAAUCACUGGGCGGAAAGAGCGCGUAGGCGGGAUAGCAAGUCAGAUGUGAAAUCCUAUGGCUUAACCAUAGAACUGCAUUUGAAACUGUUAUUCUAGAGUAUGGGAGAGGUAGGUGGAAUUCUUGGUGUAGGGGUAAAAUCCGUAGAGAUCAAGAGGAAUACUCAUUGCGAAGGCGACCUGCUAGAACAUAACUGACGCUGAUGCGCGAAAGCGUGGGGAGCAAACAGGAUUAGAUACCCCAGUAGUC
rnacentral:rRNA from 1 species